GAUGAACGCUGGCGGCGUGCUUAACACAUGCAAGUCGAACGGAAAGGCCCAAGCUUGCUUGGGUACUCGAGUGGCGAACGGGUGAGUAACACGUGGGUGAUCUGCCCUGCACUUCGGGAUAAGCCUGGGAAACUGGGUCUAAUACCGGAUAGGACCACAUUUUGGAUGGUGUGGUGGAAAGUUUUUCGGUGUGGGAUGAGCUCGCGGCCUAUCAGCUUGUUGGUGGGGUAAUGGCCUACCAAGGCGUCGACGGGUAGCCGGCCUGAGAGGGUGUACGGCCACUGUGGGGCGGGAAUCCGGCCAGGCCUCGUGCGGGAGGAGGGAGGGGGGAAGAUGGACCAAGGGGGGCAGGCUGGAUGCCGCGACGCCGGUGGGGGGAGGGCGUCUUUGGGGUUGUAACCCCCUUCCGCGGGGGAGAAGGCUUUUUUGUGGGGGUCGCGGAAAAAGAGACCCCGGCAAACUACGUG
rnacentral:rRNA from 1 species